rnacentral:rRNA from 1 species
GUGAGGAAUAUUGGUCAAUGGACGAGAGUCUGAACCAGCCAAGUCGCGUGAAGGAAGACGGUUCUAUGAAUUGUAAACUUCUUUUGUGCAGGAAUAAAGUGGGUUACGUGUAACCUUUUGUAUGUACUGUACGAAUAAGGAUCGGCUAACUCCGUGCCAGCAGCCGCGGUAAUACGGAGGAUCCGAGCGUUAUCCGGAUUUAUUGGGUUUAAAGGGUGCGUAGGUGGAUUGAUAAGUCAGCGGUGAAAGUUUGCAGCUUAACUGUAAAAUUGCCGUUGAAACUGUCGGUCUUGAGUGCAAAUGAGGUAGGCGGAAUGUGUUGUGUAGCUGUGAAAUGCUUAGAUAUAACACAGAACUCCGAUUGCGAAGGCAGCUUACUGGGAUGCAACGGACACUGAAGCACGAAAGCGUGGGUAUCAAACAGGAUUAGAACCCCGAGUAGUCC